rnacentral:rRNA from 1 species
CCCUUAGAUGUCCUGGGCCGCACGCGCGCUACACUGAUGCAUUCAACGAGUAUUUCCUUGGCCGAGAGGCCUGGGCAAUCUUUUAAACCUGCAUCGUGAUAGGGAUAGAUUAUUGCAAUUAUUAAUCUCGAACGAGGAAUUCCUAGUAAACGCAAAUCAUCAAUUUGCAUUGAUUACGUCCCUGCCCUUUGUACACACCGCCCGUCGCACCUACCGAUUGAAUGGUCCGGUGAAAUCUCGGGAUUGUGGCCAGUUCACUUUAUUGGGAGUUGGCUGCGAGAACUUGCUUAAACCUUAUCAUUUAGAGGAAGGUGAAGUCGUAACA